rnacentral:rRNA from 1 species
UUGCUGUAGUAUUUUGACUAUACAAAGGUAUUGAAAUAAGAUUUUAAUUGAAUGCUAAGAGAAUGGAAACCCAGAAAAAAACUUUUUUUAAAUUAAAAAUUGAAAUUUUAUUAAUUUGUGCAGAAACAAUUAUUAAUAUUAAGGACAAGAAGACCCUAUGAAUUUAUAAAAUUCUAUUCAAUAUAUUAUUGCUGUUGUAGAAUUUUUGGCUGGGGCGGCUAAAAAAUAUUUUAAACUUUUUAAUAGUAAAAUGAUCCAUUAUUAAUGAUUACAUGUGAAAUACUCUAGGGAUAACAGCGUUAUAUUUUUUGAUAGAUCAUAUUGACAAAAAAGUUUGCGACCUCGAUGUUGGAUUAGGAU